UACGAGAGGCCCAAACGUUAUUCGGAAUUACUGGGCUUAAAGAGUUCGUAGGCGGCGCGGAAAGUGGGGUGUGAAAGCCCUCGGCUCAACCGAGGAAUUGCGCUCCAAACUGCCGUGCUUGAGGGACCUAGAGGUGAGCGGAACUGAUGGUGGAGCGGUGAAAUGCGUUGAUAUCGGGAGGAACACCUGCGGCGAAAGCGGCUCACUGGACCACAACUGACGCUGAGGCGCGAAAGCUAGGGGAGCAAACAGG
rnacentral:rRNA from 1 species